rnacentral:lncRNA from 1 species
AAAUUCUUCAAAAUGAGAAUUUCAUUGCUUCUCUUGUAUUUUGAAGGAGAGGUUGCUAAUCUUGUUUUCUUCACUCCACGAGGUAAAUUCGGUACCACCAUUGCAUUAAAAAGACUUCCAUUAAGUAGAAAAACCACCAUGCUGCUUAAAUUUGUCAAAUUUGGAGGAAAAUCCAAAAUUAUCAUUGCUAACUUUCCUAAAUCUUUUAGAGAAUUAUAAUUCCAACUUCUAAAUCAUGUGAAUGAUUAUAGAUGCACUCAUAGGCUUUUAGUCAAUCCUUAUAGUAAUGACUAACAACCUCUAAAUUAUUAAACUACCUAAGUUGUUAUUCUAAUUUUCUAACUCUUAUCACUUUAGUCCUAAUUAACCUAAUUCAAGGAAUUAGGCUAUAAUUUAUACCAUCAAGGGUUGUAAUCCUAAAAAUUCUAUAAAACUAAAUUCCACUUAUAUAAAUCCUAAUCUAACAUGUUUAAUUAUCAUAAAAUAAGAAAAUAACAAAAAUUUAAAUUUUAAAGUAUAAUUGAGAGCUCACACUUAUAUGUUUUUAUAGUGUUUUUUAUAUUUUACAAAGAAUGUGCCAACUUGUGCCAAGGUGUCAUUUUAAAUUCAAUAUUAACAUUAGUUAAAGAAUUAUAGUAUCUAAAGUUACAAAAAUAAUUUUCUAUGCAAACUCUUUAAUAUUAUAACAUUUCACAAUCCUUUGGUUUUUAAAGAGUUGAAGAAGAAUAAGAGAAGAAUUAAAAAAAAUUUCUUUGAUAUUGAAAAAAAAUAUAUAUAUUAAAUUUUGACAAAUAAGAUUUAUAAUCCAAUAAGCUCAUACAAUGUAUUUUAAGAUAUUAUAAUCAUAGUUGUAGCAUAGUUGAUUAAUAAUUAUUUAUUUAU